AUUGAUUGGUGCUUGCAUCAUGAUUUACAUUUGAGUGAGUGGCGAACUGGUGAGUAACACGUGGGAAACCUGCCCAGAAGCGGGGGAUAACACCUGGAAACAGAUGCUAAUACCGCAUAACAACUUGGACCGCAUGGUCCGAGCUUGAAAGAUGGCUUCGGCUAUCACUUUUGGAUGGUCCCGCGGCGUAUUAGCUAGAUGGUGGGGUAACGGCUCACCAUGGCAAUGAUACGUAGCCGACCUGAGAGGGUAAUCGGCCACAUUGGGACUGAGACACGGCCCAAACUCCUACGGGAGGCAGCAGUAGGGAAUCUUCCACAAUGGACGAAAGUCUGAUGGAGCAACGCCGCGUGAGUGAAGAAGGGUUUCGGCUCGUAAAACUCUGUUGUUAAAGAAGAACAUAUCUGAGAGUAACUGUUCAGGUAUUGACGGUAUUUAACCAGAAAGCCACGGCUAACUACGUGCCAGCAGCCGCGGUAAUACGUAGGUGGCAAGCGUUGUCCGGAUUUAUUGGGCGUAAAGCGAGCGCAGGCGGUUUUUUAAGUCUGAUGUGAAAGCCUUUCGGCUCAACCGAAGAAGUGCAUCGGAAACUGGGAAACUUGAGUGCAGAAGAGGACAGUGGAACUCCAUGUGUAGCGGUGAAAUGCGUAGAUAUAUGGAAGAACACCAGUGGCGAAGGCGGCUGUCUGGUCUGUAACUGACGCUGAGGCUCGAAAGUAUGGGUAGCAAACAGGAUUAGAUACCCUGGUAGUCCAUACCGUAAACGAUGAAUGCUAAGUGUUGGAGGGUUUCCGCCCUUCAGUGCUGCAGCUAACGCAUUAAGCAUUCCGCCUGGGGAGUACGGCCGCAAGGCUGAAACUCAAAGGAAUUGACGGGGGCCCGCACAAGCGGUGGAGCAUGUGGUUUAAUUCGAAGCUACGCGAAGAACCUUACCAGGUCUUGACAUACUAUGCAAAUCUAAGAGAUUAGACGUUCCCUUCGGGGACAUGGAUACAGGUGGUGCAUGGUUGUCGUCAGCUCGUGUCGUGAGAUGUUGGGUUAAGUCCCGCAACGAGCGCAACCCUUAUUAUCAGUUGCCAGCAUUAAGUUGGGCACUCUGGUGAGACUGCCGGUGACAAACCGGAGGAAGGUGGGGAUGACGUCAAAUCAUCAUGCCCCUUAUGACCUGGGCUACACACGUGCUACAAUGGAUGGUACAACGAGUUGCGAACUCGCGAGAGUAAGCUAAUCUCUUAAAGCCAUUCUCAGUUCGGAUUGUAGGCUGCAACUCGCCUACAUGAAGUCGGAAUCGCUAGUAAUCGCGGAUCAGCAUGCCGCGGUGAAUACGUUCCCGGGCCUUGUACACACCGCCCGUCACACCAUGAGAGUUUGUAACACCCAAAGUCG
rnacentral:rRNA from 1 species